UGGCGGCGUGCCUAAUACAUGCAAGUCGAACGAAGCUUUCUUUCACCGAAUGCUUGCAUUCACCGAAAGAAGCUUAGUGGCGAACGGGUGAGUAACACGUAGGCAACCUGCCCAAAAGAGGGGGAUAACACUUAGAAACAGGUGCUAAUACCGCAUAACCAUGAACACCGCAUGAUGUUCAUGUAAAAGACGGCUUUUGCUGUCACUUUUGGAUGGGCCUGCGGCGUAUUAACUUGUUGGUGGGGUAACGGCCUACCAAGGUGAUGAUACGUAGCCGAACUGAGAGGUUGAUCGGCCACAUUGGGACUGAGACACGGCCCAAACUCCUACGGGAGGCAGCAGUAGGGAAUCUUCCACAAUGGACGAAAGUCUGAUGGAGCAACGCCGCGUGAAUGAAGAAGGCCUUCGGGUCGUAAAAUUCUGUUGUCAGAGAAGAACGUGCGUGAGAGUAACUGUUCACGUAUUGACGGUAUCUGACCAGAAAGCCACGGCUAACUACGUGCCAGCAGCCGCGGUAAUACGUAGGUGGCGAGCGUUGUCCGGAUUUAUUGGGCGUAAAGGGAACGCAGGCGGUCUUUUAAGUCUGAUGUGAAAGCCUUCGGCUUAACCGAAGUAGUGCAUUGGAAACUGGAAGACUUGAGUGCAGAAGAGGAGAGUGGAACUCCAUGUGUAGCGGUGAAAUGCGUAGAUAUAUGGAAGAACACCAGUGGCGAAAGCGGCUCUCUGGUCUGUAACUGACGCUGAGGUUCGAAAGCGUGGGUAGCAAACAGGAUUAGAUACCCUGGUAGUCCACGCCGUAAACGAUGAGUGCUAAGUGUUGGAGGGUUUCCGCCCUUCAGUGCUGCAGCUAACGCAUUAAGCACUCCGCCUGGGGAGUAC
rnacentral:rRNA from 1 species